rnacentral:lncRNA from 1 species
AUGGCUGAUGAAGAGUCCUAAUGCUUGUGGACUAUUAGUCCUACGUGUCUGAGACUCUGUGAUCGAGAAUCAGGAUUCUUUGAUCACGAGUACCACACAAUUUGGGUACCGGGGUCAAGAGUCCCACUGGUUUGGGACUUUUUGAUCAAGGUUUCAUAUCGGUGGACUCUGAUGUCCGAUUGUUCAUUGGAUUUGGACUCAGUAUUUAUAAGAGAUUUAAUUAGUGAUUUGAUCACUAAUUA